GACGAACGCUGGCGGCGUGCUUAACACAUGCAAGUCGAACGGAAAGGCCCUGCUUUUGUGGGGUGCUCGGGUGGCGAACGGGUGAGUAACACGUGAGUAACCUGCCCUUGACUUUGGGAUAACUUCAGGAAACUGGGGCUAAUACCGGAUAGGAGCUCCUGCUGCAUGGUGGGGGUUGGAAAGUUUCGGCGGUUGGGGAUGGACUCGCGGCUUAUCAGCUUGUUGGUGGGGUAGUGGCUUACCAAGGCUUUGACGGGUAGCCGGCCUGAGAGGGUGACCGGCCACAUUGGGACUGAGGUACGGACCAGACUCCUACGGGAGGCAGCAGUGGGGAAUAUUGCACAAUGGGCGGAAGCCUGAUGCAGCAACGCCGCGUGCGGGAUGACGGCCUUCGGGUUGUAAACAGCUUUCGCCUGUGACGAAGCGUGAGUGACGGUAAUGGGUAAAGAAGCACCGGCUAACUACGUG
rnacentral:rRNA from 1 species